AACCCUCAGCGCUCCUGGAAGUCGGCCAAGGUCGUCGCGUGUACUUCCGAGUGGCUGAACGCCGUGAGGCCAAGUGGCCAUUGUUCCUACGUCGGCACGCGCAAAACGGCGCCAAGUCCGGGCUCCCAAUUUUCACGUUUUCGUUGGCGUGACCACGUUCUCGCGCACGGCGUCUGUCGAGACUGCUUGUGCCCUUGAACGAUGAAGUGAGCUCACCGUCGCGCUCCGGGGGAGUUCGCUCUCGGCGUGGUUAUACGCACCGUGUGGAACGUGUCCGUCUGCAGAAAAGUCUGGCACGUUCGUUUCGCAGUCCGCCAGAUCUGCGCUCCUUCAAGGUGUCCGGGCUUCCCGAGAACGAUGCCAAUCCGAAGCCACCCUAUCCCGGCAUCCCAUGCAUUCAACGGCGUCGGAGAUCCAGUUCUUCCUCUAGGACAAAAAGAUAACCGCACAGCUCUCAAGCGCUUCGUGGAACACCGCCACGCCGUCUCGAGACUGCGCCUUCAUCACCGGCGGCCAGGAGGAGAGAGAGACGGUGGUUGGUGGCUGCCGACUGGCACAAAGGGAGUCGACGACGAACGGAAAAAGCGAUGCAGCGCCAAGCCAGACAGGGAGGAGAGAAUGGCGGCGAGGGUCUGGGCCGGUCUGGCACCUCGGGGCGGCGAGCGUGUGUGUGUGUGUGUAUGUGUGUGCGUGCAGCUACAGCGACGGGGCCAGCAUCCCAGACGGCCUGACCUCGGCGCCUUGGACGCCUUCCCAGAAGACGGCAAUGGCGGCACGAACGGGUUAAAAUAGGACCGACGGCGCGGGGUGCCCACGCCGCCGCCGCCGCCGACGACGACGACCGGAGCAGAGAGUGAGACGGCAAGCGACGGCACCACAGCGAUGAAGGGCAAGAAGAACAAGAAUAAUAUUGAGAUGACGGCGCAGUGGCCAUCUUCUUCGCACAAGGUGGCUCUGGCGAGCAGCACAUAUAGCAAGGAGUCUCUGGGCAUUAUUAAAAGUGAACCGCAUGUGUCGCCUGACCACGCUCUUGCGCACUCUUGAGGACGUACAAGACGUCUCCAAGUUCCGUUUCAUGUUCGUAUGAGCAGCGCAGGAAGAAUGCGUUAAAAAUGUAACUCGGGUGGGUUUUACACAAGAAGUGCGAAUGGCCGCUUCCGUUAUAAGCUUUGCGAGAGAUCGCUGCCAUUGCUUUCGAUGACUAGUAGCCGGAGGUAACCUGCCACUUCGAUCGCAUGAUCACCGCCGCCUUUGGUCAACGCGUGGUCACUCUACAUUUCCGGACACUGCGCGUGCCAUCAUAAUACAGCAGCGGCAUAUCUCAAAUCGGAACGAGGUUGAAUUCGACAAAGAGGCACCUCCCGCCGCCUAUUCCUGCUGCACCGAACAGCAGAUCACGCAGUCGACAGCUAACCCUUUCGCGGCGAAGUCGAGCGCCUGACGCUGUCCCACCUUUUUUCCGCCUCUCUUGAGGGACAGAUCGGACAGGUCGCAGUAUCGGGCGCAAGCAAGCUCGGUCAUAGCGGCGGCGGCAGGUCGCAGUUCCAAACAAUGCGGCCGGUCAGCAGCAGCAGCAAGAGCGCGAGAAGCGGCAACAGCAGCGAAAAAAAAACGACACUGAUCAGCCUGCGUGCGCACACGUACACACGGACUGGAAGACCCUGAACGAAAACAUGCGGCCUCCUUACGCGGUGUACGCUUGCCCUACAUUCUUUUCGGCGGCGAGAGGGGGACACAGCACGCGCCGUUCUAGUUUGCGACUGGUUAUGCGACCAAGGCGACGACGCUGCGGCCCCGAGUAGCUGGCACUGCAGCAGCGCUAUAGUAUGCCAUUACACUGUAUCCGCGUCUUACAUGUUCGUGCUCUAUAGGGCACGUGUGUGUGCGUGCGUGCGUUUCAGUAAGGCCGCCAGCUGCCCUUCCUCCUGUGCAAACACAGUGCGCAAUGCCACUUCCAAGUGUAGGGUGCAGACAAACUUCUAAAAGAAGCAGUUCAUGUUCUGGUCAUGUUCUACAAAUGCCUCGACAGCUUUACGCCAUCGCUGUCGCUAUCUCUUCUAAUUUGCAGGUGCGCCCUCGCAACAAACUCCAGUUGCGCAACAACAGGAAUCCCAAGCUUUCUCUUCGGGGCUGUCUCAAAAGCUUGCACAUUGGAUCUUCGUAUUUCAUCCGCUGCAAACAGUAGACGGGGAGGGGUCUCGACUGCCAGCUUAUAACCGUACAUCCUACGCACCCGCGGAGAUAUUAAGCGCACGGCGCGAGCAUCAAAGGU